rnacentral:rRNA from 1 species
GAUGAACGCUGGCGGCGUGCUUAACACAUGCAAGUCGAACGGAGCACCUCGGAUCAAGUUUUCGGACGAGAGAAGAGACUGCUUAGUGGCGGACGGGUGAGUAACGCGUGAGGAACCUGCCUUGGAGAGGGGAAUAACACAAGGAAACUUGUGCUAAUACCGCAUGAAGCAUAGAUAUCGCAUGGUAUUUAUGCCAAAGAUUUAUCGCUCUGAGAUGGCCUCGCGUCUGAUUAGCUAGUAGGUGGGGUAAUGGCCCACCUAGGCGACGAUCAGUAGCCGGACUGAGAGGUUGACCGGCCACAUUGGGACUGAGAUACGGCCCAGACUCCUACGGGAGGCAGCAGUGGGGAAUAUUGGGCAAUGGGCGCAAGCCUGACCCAGCAACGCCGCGUGAAGGAAGAAGGCUUUCGGGUUGUAAACUUCUUUUAUUUAGGACGAAAAAAAUGACGGUACUAAAUGAAUAAGCCACGGCUAACUACGUGCCAGCAGCCGCAGUAAGAC